AUUGAACGCUGGCGGCAUGCCUUACACAUGCAAGUCGAACGGUAACGCGGGGCAACCUGGCGACGAGUGGCGAACGGGUGAGUAAUGCAUCGGAACGUGCCCGGUAGUGGGGGAUAACUGCUCGAAAGAGCAGCUAAUACCGCAUACGACCUGAGGGUGAAAGGGGGGGAUCGCAAGACCUCUCGCUAUCAGAGCGGCCGAUGUCGGAUUAGCUAGUUGGUGGGGUAAAGGCCCACCAAGGCGACGAUCCGUAGCUGGUCUGAGAGGACGACCAGCCACACUGGGACUGAGAGACGGCCCAGACUCCUACGGGAGGCAGCAGUGGGGAAUUUUGGACAAUGGACGCAAGUCUGAUCCAGCCAUGCCGCGUGCGGGAAGAAGGCCUUCGGGUUGUAAACCGCUUUUGUCAGGGAAGAAAUCUUCUGGGUUAAUACCUCGGGAGGAUGACGGUACCUGAAGAAUAAGCACCGGCUAACUACGUGCCAGCCGCCGCGGUAC
rnacentral:rRNA from 1 species